GCCAGGCGUCGCAGCGGGUGCCUGUAGUCCCAGCUACUUGGGAGGCUGAAGCAAGAGAAUUGCUUGGGCCUAGGAGUUGGAGAUUGCUGUGAGCUGUAAUGCCAUGGCACUCUACUCAGGGCAACAACUUGAGUCUCUUUCUCAAAAAAAAAAAAAAAAAAAGUAUUUGCCAUUUUGUAGAAGUAACUUUCAAAAAAAAUUUUUUUUUUUUGAGACAGAGUCACAAGUUGUUGCCCUGGGUAGAGUGCCAUGGGAUUACAGCUCACGGAAACCUCCAAC
rnacentral:sRNA from 1 species